rnacentral:rRNA from 1 species
GACGAACGCUGGCGGCGUGCUUAACACAUGCCAGUCGAACGGAAAGGCCCCCAUCUUGGUGGGGGUGCUCGAGUGGCGAACGGGUGAGUAACACGUGGGUGAUCUGCCCUGUACUUCGGGAUAAGCUUGGGAAACUGGGUCUAAUACCGGAUAGGACCAUGGUUUAGUGUCUCAUGGUGGAAAGAUUAUUGUUUUGGUGCAGGAUGAGCUCGCGGCCUAUCAGCUUGUUGGUGGGGUAAUGGCCUACCAAGGCGUCGACGGGUAGCCGGCCUGAGAGGGUGGACGGCCACAUUGGGACUGAGAUACGGCCCAGACUCCUACGGGAGGCAGCAGUGGGGAAGAUUGCACAAUGGGUGCAAGCCUGAUGCAGCGACGCCGCGUGGGGGAUGACGGCCUUCGGGUGGUAAACUCCUUUCGUUAGGGACGAAGCCACGCUUUUGGGGUGUGGUGACGGUACCUUUGUGAAGAAGCACCGGCUAACUACGUG